UACGUAGGGUCCGAGCGUUGUCCGGAAUUACUGGGCGUAAAGAGCUCGUAGGUGGUUUGUCGCGUUGUUCGUGAAAACUCACAGCUCAACUGUGGGCGUGCGGGCGAUACGGGCAGACUAGAGUACUGCAGGGGAGACUGGAAUUCCUGGUGUAGCGGUGGAAUGCGCAGAUAUCAGGAGGAACACCGGUGGCGAAGGCGGGGUCUCUGGGCAGUAAACUGACGCUGGAGGAGCGAAAAGCGUGGGGGAGC
rnacentral:rRNA from 1 species